rnacentral:rRNA from 1 species
ACGGGGUGCAGCAGGCGCGAAACCUUCACAAUGCACGAAAGUGUGAUGAGGUCAUCCCGAGUCUUAGGCUUACGUCUAGGUUUUCUGGAGUUUGAUAAGCUUCAGGAAUAAGGAGGGGGCAAGAACGGUGCCAGCCGCCGCGGUAAAACCGUCUCUUCGAGUGGCCACCGCGUUUACUGGGCUUAAAGCGUGCGUAGCGGGAUUAGUCCGUCCCACAUUAAAGACGGCUUCUCAAGAGUCCGAAGUGUGUGGGAAACAGCUAAUCUUGGCAAUGGGAUAGGGGCUCGGUACCCGUGGUGUAAAGGUGAAAUUUUAUAAUCCCACGGGGACCACCGAUGGCGAAGGCAGAGCCCUGGAACAUGUGCGACCGUCAGGCACGAAAGGGUGGGUAGCGAGCCGGAUUAGAUACCCGGGUAGUCCACCCCGUAAACGAUGCGGAUUAAGUGUAUGGGAAGCGAAUGCUUUCCAUGUGCCGUAGGGAAACCGUUAAAUCCGCCGCCUGGGAAGUACGCUCGCAAGAGUGAAACUUAAAGCAAUUGGCGGGAGAGCGCCACAAUGGGUGGAGCCUGCGGCUUAAUUGGACUCAACGCCGGAAAUCUCACCAGAGUCUUCUAUCCGAUGCCAACCAGCUUGAAGAGCUUGUUGAAAGGAUGAAAGGGAAGUGCAUGGCCGUCUCCAGCUCGUGCCGUGAGGUGUCCUGUUAAGUCAGGCAACGAGCGAGAUCUCCGGGAAUACUUACCAGCGGA